rnacentral:rRNA from 1 species
UACAGAGGGUGCAAGCGUUAAUCGGAAUUACUGGGCGUAAAGCGCAUGUAGGUGGUUGCAUAAGUUUGAUGUGAAAGCCCCGGGCUUAACCUGGGAAUGGCGUUGAAGACUGUGUGACUAGAGUCGGACAGAGGGUCGUGGAAUUUCCGGUGUAGCGGUGAAAUGCGUAGAUAUCAAGAGGAACACCAGUGGCGAAGGCGGCCUUCUGGACGGAUACUGACGCUGAUACGCGAAAGCGUGGGGAGCAAACAGG